CUAAAAUGGACAAGGGUCAACCAGUCAACAGUGGCUUUUGAAAGAAUAACUUCAUCUUGAACUGCUGAGAAGAGGUGACAGGAGUGUUUUUCCAUACUGUUAAUACGUUAAGAGAAGGUGAUGGAUGAAGAUACAACAUGAUUAGAUCUGGAGCAGUAUUGAUAAGCACCUUUUAAGGAGUGUGAAGACAUGUUGGCACAGAUUCUAAGCCAAAAAAGACUCCACUGGUGGAUAUUAAGAAAAGAGAGUCUCUGCAUGGUUGACUAUGUCACAUGUUCCAUUAAAGUUUUGAAGUGGGAUCGCGGCACUGAAACUGUAUUCAGAGUGACUUAGUUCUGCCAAGCUGAACAUAUGAAAAAUCAAAUAGAGAAGAACCACGUAAGACAGAAGGGUAGUCUGAAAGCUAUUGACAUGGCAAAGCACAGACCGGCAACUGCAUGCAAUUGAGCUGAACAAAAUAGAUGACAAGUAUACCAUGAAAUACUUCACUGCUAGUCUCCAAGUGACAUUACCAUUUAUUCCUAGGGAGUGACAGAAACAGGUGGAUCACGGGGUCCCUCAGGUAAAUAUAUCAUGAAGCUAGAGAAUCAAGAAAGAGUCAUAAACAAUAGGAGUGCAGACCACACAAGGGUUAUUUUUGCCUCACUCCUAUACCAUGGAGGCCCUUUUAGCAUCAACAGUAAUUUUGUAAAUUUGAUAGCAAAGGUCAGAAAGAGUGUUGGCAUACUCCUAAUAAAUUCUAAAAGAGGGGGUUUAGGAAGAAAGCAGGUGGCUUUAUAGAUGACUCUAAGUAAUUCAUCUUCCUUAGUUUGAAUCCUGCGUUUAAGACCUAAAUGAAAUAGCAUCUGUUCCCUCUUAUGUUAAAUUUUUAAAUUAAACUUCUUAUUUUGAAAUAAUUAUAGAUUUAAAUGCAAUAAGAAAAAAUAAUACAGAGAUCUCCUGUACUCUUUCCCUGGUUUUCCCCAAUGGUAACAUCUUGCAAAGGUGUAGUAGGACAUCACAGCCAUGAUACUGAAGUUGAUACGGUCAAGACAGAGAACACUUUUAUCACCACAGGUGUCUUUAUGUUGCCCAUUUAUAGCUAGACCCACUUCCCUUCUAUCCCUACCCCCACCCCACCUUAACCCCUGACAACCACUAAUCUGUUUUCUAUUUUUAUAAUUUGUCAUUAAUCAAUGUUAUGAAAUCAGAGUAUGUAUGGAUUUUUUAUUUGGCAUAAUUAUCCAGGUUGUUGCAUUUAUAAAUACA